ensembl:piRNA 21ur-8510 ncRNA
UUUGAAGAGUAAUAAAAAAAU